UACGUAGGGGGCGAGCGUUAUCCGGAGUUACUGGGCGUAAAGCGCACGCAGGCGGUCGGGUAAGUUUGGGGUGACAGCUCCCGGCUCAACUGGGAGAGGACCUUGAAGACUGCAGGACUCGAGGGCCAGAGAGGGACACGGAAUUCCGGGUGUAGUGGUGAAAUGCGUAGAUAUCCGGAGGAACACCAAAGGCGAAGGCAGUGUCCUGGCUGGUACCUGACGCUCAGGUGCGAAAGCUAGGGGAGCGAACGGG
rnacentral:rRNA from 1 species